AGUCUGACAGUCUUAUUACAUCUUAGCAGAAAACUUCUCUCAAACUGGACUAAAAGAGGUCUUCUGACAGCAUGAAUAUAGUUAAUUUUCAGGAUGUUUAUCCAUCAAAUAGUCCCAUGAGUUAAAUAAUUGCAGAGCCAUGAUUUCAUGCUAGUUACUUACACAGAUUGUCAGGAGGAAACAUCAGUUGUCCAAACAACCCUUGAUACUAUAACUGUGUAUAGAAAUUAAAGCUUGCAGAAAAUCAGAAUCACAGAAUGGUUAGGGUUGGAAAGGACCUCAUGAUCAUCUAGUUCCAACUUCCCUGACAUAGAAGGAGUGAU